UGCAGAAGAAAGAUCUGGAAGUGAGAGAGACACUUUCACUAUAUAUAGUGGCUCCCACUUCCAGAUCUUUCUCUCUGUA
ensembl:miRNA